rnacentral:lncRNA from 1 species
AAACCAAACCAAACUGAAAUAACUUUUCAACCCCUUUGGGUUGAAUUCUUGAACCCAAACUGGUUGUAAUCUGAACUGAAAAUUGAAAACACCAACAAAAAAUUGAAAUGCGCGACCCUAUUCAAGACUAUUGCAGUGUCCUAUAAGGUGAGGUUGAUUUCGAGCUCUCCUUGAAGGUAUGAUAUGCAAUCUGCUGUUUUUUUUUAAUUCUACUGUCCUCUAUCAUUAUUUGUAAACAUGUUAAGAUUUUGGUUUAUGCUUAUUGUUCUGUAGUAAGCUCACCAAUGUGUAGUUUUUGAUACAAAUGAUAAAAGGGCUAUUAAUAUUAGAUGAUGUUAUUUGAUGAUUUAUAUUAAUGCAAUCAAGUUUGUUCUUGUUCAUUGUAGAUGUAUUCUCCAUUUAUCUUCCAAAGAUAACUUUGUCAUUAAACUGAAAUUGACAUAAAGGUUGCAUAGAACAAGUAUGCUGAUUUUUUUCCUAUUGAAAAUAAAACUUAUUUGAUCCUACCCAAGAAGUUAGGACAUGCAUUGGAAAUUCUAAAUAUUAUUUAUUUUUCCCAACCUUGUUUUCUAAUAUCAUUUAUUUAUUUAUUAUUAUUUUCUUUUUUUGUAUGUAGAGACUCUUGAAAUAUAGCAGCAUUUGAAGUCUAGCUUUCAGAAGCUGUAAAUUGAUUUAGUUUUGUAUUGGUUUUAUUUGAUGUAAAAAAAUUUUAAAACAUGUUUAGAUGAAUGGAAAUUUUGAUUUCCUUUACUUUUUAGAGCACUGGAUAAAUUAAUAGUGCAUUAUAAUUUCAUUUACAAACA